UACGGAGGGUGCAAACGUUGCUCGGAAUCAUUAAACAUAAAACACACAUAAACAACAAAACAAGUUGGGUGUGAAAGCCCUGGGCUCAACCCAGGAAGUGCAUUCAAAACUGUUUCGCUUGAAUCUCGGAGGGGGUCAGAGAAUUCCCGGUGUAGAGGUGAAAUUCGUAGAUAUCGGGAGGAAUACCAGUGGCGAAGGCGCUGACCUGGACGAAGAUUGACGCUGAGGUGCGAAAGCGUGGGGAGCAAACAGG
rnacentral:rRNA from 1 species